AAAGGUUACUUGACGCGAGCGCGUUGAUUGUUCAUUUGGAGUUGCUUCUUCUUCUUCUUCUUGAUCGACCUAGGAUGGGUUCCAGGCCGGCAGCCUGGGAUAGCAAGGAUGGACGUCGUUCUUAUUUUCUUGUUUGUUUUCGUCCGUAGUCGGACCCUGCUCUUACUCUUGAUGAAUAUGUAAUGUACUGAUGUGACUCUGAUGUAGCUUGUGGCGAGUGUAAGCCAAUUCUAUUAUAUACCUCUUCUUUUCAGUACAUGUACUUGUAACGAUAUCCAUUCUUGCGACACGACGAGAUGCGCUUCUAUCCCUGACGAGGCCUUCGUGCCAAAUUGAGGAUAGGGUCGCAUCUUGGGCGUGACAAGUUGGUAUCAGACCAGUACCGACCUAGGAGCCCCCUUGAUUGAUCGAACUUGGCCGAGUCGAGUCUAGUAAAAAUACUUUGAGUCUAGUUAUAUAUCGGAGAGUAGGGUUCUUUUUUCUCCUCUUCUAUGCUUCGGUGAGGAAUCUUGACGUAAUAAUUUACUCUACUCCUCUUCUCACUCAAAAUUUUUUAGGAUCACGCGGAUAUUUUUGGAAUCUAUAUGAUGCCGAUGUGACGGAGUUCUGUCUUGGUGCCUCCUGUCUGACUUGAAUUUCUUUCGGGGAGUUGAGCUCCAGGGGAUUCUUGAGCACAUUGUUAUCAUUCAGAUUUCUUAGUAUCUCAGGACGAAGGAUGUUCGUAAUUGCUUCAAUACUAGUAGUGGCGAGAUAAACCCGAUGUCCCCAGUACUGGUGCAGAUUGUUCGGGAGUACUGCCAUACUUUGUAUCGUUGUGAUCACGAGGGUCUGGUGUAGAUGAAGGUUCGAGAUUCUGGUUGUGUGUUGACGGAUGUGAUACAGGUGACGGGUUAGUAUAGGAGUUGUGUGAUUAUUACUCCUUGUAUCCGUGUACCAGAUUGCAUGACCAGAUAUUUCGGGAAUUCAUAGGUGGGAAUUCAAGUAGUUGCUUAUAGGACAAUCUUCCAACAAAUACAUGAUGUUAGGUUGGGGUUCGACAUCUAGUGGAUUCGUUUGUUCACGGUCGACUUACAGCGGUACACGUUGUGUCUUAAAGAGUCCUUGUAGCUUGCUACGACUCGGGGACGCUUCGUAUGUCGGGUGCACUGCCUUGCACUUGAUGGCUACUGUAAAAUCGAGCCCGUGCGAUCCGGUCCAUGAAAAUAUCGGACGGAAUCUUUCUCAUGAGUUUGUUCUGCCUAAUCUCAAGCCGCACCCUUUGUUUUGUUGAAUGUGGUAAUUUGUGUUGCUUCGAUGUCAAGUGGUGAUUUCAGAUCUUUCCUAAGAGGUGUUCUCAUAUUGUUAUGUGAGAAUGCAAAUUCUUUUUUUCGUUCAAUUGUCUCAUCAAUUUUGUCAACCGGAGUUGUUAUGUCAAGUCUUUUGAACCGGUGUGCUUCUCUUUAGUGGAUUCAAUCCUUUCCAAUGUUGCAAGAUCAUUCUCUCAUUUUAUGCCGGAGUUUGUCUCAUCUGUUCCGAGUUGUCUUUGUUUUUCCCCACCCUCCCNNNNNNNNNNNNNNNNNNNNNNNNNNNNNNNNNNNCACCCUCCCGCCCUUUUUCUCAGUGAUUCAAUUUUCAUUAAGAGUUUUCUUUUCAUGGUGCUUCCGCUGUCUGUUCUUUCUCUCUUACCCGGUGAAUUUAAUUCAGCUGUCCGUGUUCAUCAUAUCCUUUUUAUCCUUGUAAUGCUUUCCCAUGUUGGAGUUUCUCGUCAGCCUAUCCUGUUGUUCUUUGCUCUCUAGUCUAUCCGGAGUGCUGAAUUUGUCUCGGAAAUUCUUGUUUUCAAUUCUUUCAUUUAUUUCAAGGUGCUAACCUCAUCUAGUUUUCUUUAUACGGGUGCAAUAUCUCUCUUCUAAGCAAUCUUUCUAACGGUGGUUUCUUCGAGUGGGCCCAUAACCCACAGGUUUUCCCCAGGAUCUUUCCUGGCUCUUUUAACCUUUUCCCGGAGUUCUCUAAUUAUUUCAACUAUGACGUAAGUAUGAUUUUCAUCAGUCAUAUUCCUUCAUCAAGAUCUAUUUGAAUUAAUUCUAAUAUUGGCUCAACCUUUCAUUCUUCUUAUUUCGGAGUGUCCUAGUUAAUUCUUGGUGGUGUUCUUCUCAUCAUUCUCUUCUUUCAAGACCGAAGAAGUGUUUCUCUCGAAUCUUGGUUCAUUCUCUUGGAUAUUCGUCAUUUCAGCUUUAUGCCAUCAUCUUAAUUGUUGUCAAUCAUGAGUAUCCCUUUCUUGCUAUCUGGUGCAUUUAUGAAUUAUUUGAUUCUCGAUUCUCCGAAGGCCAUCAUUUUAGAAGAAUCUUCGUUCUCAGCUUUCAGCUUUCAUCCUCAAUUCUUCUCAAUUGUUGUCUAUUCGUUCGUCUCUCGUUUAAUCAUUUCUAGAAGAAUAAGUUGUAUGGUAGAUCCGUUGCUUGUCAUCAAUUUAGCUUGAUGAAGGAUAAGCAUAAUAUAAUUCUUAUUCUUGUUAAUAAUAAUCUGAAUUCUUCUUCCGGAGUGGCUCAUGAUAUCAAUUCUUUUCUCAAGUGCCUAUCUUUGUUUUCCGGAGUUCCAAGUUCGUUUAGUAUCUCUUUGUGAGGCUUCAUCUUAAUUUUGGCAAGGUCAUAAUCUUAUUCUUUCAUUCUUCAUAUCUUUGCAUCAUUUAUUUGUAUACAGAGGUCCUUCAUGGUGAUUCAUCAAUGUUUCAAUUCAUUCUCAAGUGUUCUUCAAGAUUCUUGUUGGAGAACCUCAAGUAUCCUUUCUCUUGCGUUUUAUGUGCAAUUGUUCUUCCUUUAUCCUUUGAGGUGGUAUUAUAGCAUUCUUGUUAGUGUAGGAGUCUCGAAGAGAUUUUAUCUCAAGAAUGAGAUAAUUAAACCCACCAAUUCUAUGAUCAUGAGAUAUUUCAACCCAUGAUUUCUUCAUUGAGUUAUCUUGGUUUGGAUUUCACCUAAAGCUUUUCCUAUGGAUUGCUGCUAUCAUGGUGCUUGUCAUUAAUCCAAGUUCUCAAUGUAUCCUCUUGGUGUAAGAAAUUGUUCAUAUCUUGUUUCUCCCAAUCUAUCCUUGUUCCUUUUAGUGGUUGGUUGUCACCUCAUAUUUGUUGAGAUGAUUUUUAUAAGCCCACUACUAUCUUCUUCUUCGUUGUUGGUUUUCCAACCACUACGUCAAUUCUCUGUCCGGAGGCUCUUCAAUUCUAUUGUGAUGAUAGUUGUCCUUUGUUUCUUCAUUCUCUUCUUCCGCUUGAGCUAGUUCAUAUUCUCUUGUUCCGGAGGCAUUGUGUUGUUGCUCUUUUGGGUCAAUCAUGUUGUUCUAUCAAGAUCAUGGUGUUCCCUUGUUCUAUUUACUUGUUUGUUGUGAAUAUUGUCUAAUUCUACCAUCUUAUCGAAUUUUUUGUCCCAUUUUCCUACCGAAGUGCUGCCGAAAUUUUCCAUGAAUUCUUCCUUGUCUUCUCAUAUCAUUCUUCAUCUAUUUGCAUCCUUCAAGAAUCAUUGGUUUCACUCGUUUGUCAAAGAAGCGACUAAGUUUUACCUCUUCCUUUCUCAUCCUCUUCCCCGUUCAUUCUUGGAUCUCGGGGCGAGAUCCUCUUAUAGUGUAGGAGAGUUGUGAUAGCCCGAUGCCGACGUUCCAGAAGAUUCCCCUCUCUUUCCAUUUUCAUCGUGUGUCUAUUUAUUUUGGUCGCAUCAUCAUCACAUCAUGCACAUUAUCAGCAUUGCAUCGGCAUCUCCGUUGACGCCAGUUUUCAAAACUUGCAUCCACUGGUAGUUGCCGGUCCUCGUCGUUGUCCCUUCAGAGUCCGACCGCACACCCACGCGCCCGCGGCACCGUCGAAACCCUGUUUUUAAAGUGCGUUUAAAACUUUUUCUGAUCGGGUUGAGAUUUGACGUGCGGUCGUGAUUAGUUAUAGAGAGGCUGCCUGUCGAAUUUCGUCGCGAUCGGAGACUGUCUGGUACCCGAACGGUCGCCCAUAGCGGCACCGUCUUCGGUUAUUCGUUGGACGUCUGUCGGUGUUUUAAAAUUCGUUGCCGCGCCGCCCGUUCCGCCUCUCGUCUCCGGAUACCCCCUCUACACGGCCGCGUACCCAUACCUGCGUUCGGAAUAGUCCGAAUGCGACCCCGCUUUGGAUCCGGAGCGCGAUUCCGGUUAACCGAGCCCCCCGUUUGUCUAUUUAUAGGCCCCCUCCUUAAUUUUAGGCAAGCAACCCCUCUCCACCUCGGGAUCCGCGCCGUCCCGAAACCCCAAUUCCCCCACUCUCUCUCCCCUGUCUCCCACCUCCAGCCGUCGGGCCCGCCCGAGCCCGGGUCAGGCCCGCCGAAGCCCAUCUCGGCCUAAGGCUAACCCUAGCCGAGCUCCCACGCCUUCGCCGUCGACCGCCGGCUCCUGCCCGCAGCAGCCCGAGCUGCCGUGCCCCGCGCCUCCGGCGACGCCCGCCGGCCGCCCCGUACGCGUCCCGCCGCCUGCUAGCAGCGCGAAGCUCUCCUCGGCGGAGACCUGCAGCACCGGCCGCAGCCGCCACCAUGGCCGCCGCCCCACGCCGUGCCUCGGUUCCCCGCCGGCCUCCCGCGCCAGAUCCGGCCGGCCCACGCCCGGAACCGGCCGCCUGCACCGACCGUCGGAGGCGCCUGCCUCCUACCCCCGCUGACGCCUGAUGCCGCCGUGUACUUCGCCGCCGCAGCUGCCUCUGGCUCCCGCUCGGGAGGAGCCCGACGGGAGUUGCUCGUCCGCUCACCAACCCCAGCGUGGGCCGCUCCUGCGCCAGCAGCCCAGGGCGCCAGCUCCUGCCCGAGCCGGCCCAGCUGGGACGGCCCACCGCCUCGCCUCCUCCCUCCAGGCGGCCCAGGUGAGACCCCCCUGUUCGGCCCAGUAGUUUUAGGUUUUCUUUCCGAAUUAGCUAAAUUCCAGAAAAUAGGCAUAUCUUAGAACGUCCGUAGCUUUUAAACCAUAAGUCGGAACGACGCGUAUUUUAUAUGGUUUUGGCACAGAAUUUCGCGUAGAAUACGAUUACCAAACUUGCAUAAUUGUUUGAGGUUGUUUAGCAUGCUAUUUGCCUAGUUUAGCGUGCUGCCCUAUUAUGUUUCCGACCCGUAUAAUUUGCCUUGCGUGUCCGGGCUGCCCGUAUACCGUAGAUUAAAUGUCCACGUUAUAGGAAUCAUUUUUGCAUGCAUUUUAGAGCAGUCAUUUGUAUUUUUGCGUGUAUGGUAUUGCCUCUAGUUUAUUUGCCCCUAUAUAGGUUUUUUCCCGCAUUAAUGUGUGGCUUUAUUUUAUGUUGCAAACCCCAUAUAUUUUAUAUGUUUCCGGGGUAGAAAAAUCCAUUGGAUUUUUCUGUGCAAUUAGUUUUAGCAUUAGAGCAAGUUAGUCCGCGAGAUAUUUUGCCGUGAUGCUCUUUUGUUUAAUUCGUAGGAUUUAUUCCGUGCCUCGUUUGAAAUAGUUGUCAACUAGAGAGUUGAUCUUGGAUGUUUUGUUUAGCCCCUGGUAUUUUUGGUUGCAAUAGAAAUGCAUGUUUAGGUGUUGUUUGCUUGCCCUCAAGUUGCUAUAAAUAGUGCUGUUUUAGAGGAGCUGAAAUAUUUCUAAGUCUGGAAUCUGUUAUUAUUUUGUUGGUGUCUUGUCUUGCUUGCAUCUUGUGAUCUGUAGCUCUUUUGAGGUUGGUCCAAUGGAGUUAGUUGUACCCCUUGUGUUUCUCUAGCAUGAUAUAAAUUUUCAUGCCAUUUGGAGACUUGUAGCAUAGGAUUUUUCUGCUGUCAAUAUGCCUUCAGGCUGAAAACUGCACUUUCAUGAGGUGUUAUUUUCACUAAGUCUGAAAUCGUGCGUGAGAUGCCAUUUUGUGUCUUCUUUUCCUAGUGCUCCUUGCUGCCUUGCUAGUUUUUGUUAGUUGUUUGUAGUAGUGCUUCUUUCCCUCUUCCGUGCCAUGCCUUUCUUGAGCAUAUCGGAGUUGGGUAGCCGAAGUUGUGAGGCGUAGAAAUUGCUAUGUGCCUGAUUUUGGCAGAUUGUAGUCAUUUCUUGUUUUGCUCAUAGAUGUUGAACCGUAGCUCCGUUGGAGAUGUUCUUUAUGUGUAGAUUGCUUGCCUUGAUGCGUACAAUCACGUGAACCUAUUUGUUUUGCUGUUUAACAACUAAUUAAAUGCAUUAGUUCAGAUCUGGAGAGAAUUGGAAUUUAACAUGUGAGGUCAUUUCGGAGAUGCUAUAUGUCAUUUCCGACCUCAUUUAAAAUGUCUAGAUAGGUAGUUUAAUUUCCGCUUCACCUCUUACAUGUUUAACCACAUUUAAUAUUGCCGUGUAUUUAAUCGGGAUAGAACUAAAUAAAUGAAUGUGGAGUUUCGUCAAUAUGCAACUCGUUGCAUAUUGAACUUCACUUAAUGUGUAGUGUUUGCUUGUGUGAAUUGUCAUGCCGUGACUUGCAUGUAUUCAGUAGCUCAUGAAUCAUAUGUGGUGUGCAUCGUGUGGUGAAUUCCGUGUGAUGAUUUGUGUUUCCAGUUUCCCCGCCUCGAUAGAGUUCCGCAGCGUGCCGGAUUGUGAGGACCCGUUCGACUACGUCGGUUCGUCUGCUUCACGGAGUCAUUCUUCUUCCAAGCGGGAUCUCAGGCAAGAUGAUCAUUUCCCAGAUACCAUUACUAUCAUUGCCAUGCUAGUUUUACCGCUUCUAUCGUUUAUGUCUCGUGGCCUACCACAUGUUAAAUAUCAGUCUCUCAACAAUGCCAUGAUUACCUUCAACCUGUUCGACCUAGCAAACCACUGAUUGGCUAUGUUACCGCUUUCUUAACCUUGUUGAUAGUGUUGCUAGUUGCAGGUGCAGUUGCUUCCAUGUGAUAACAUGGGUUCCUUGUUUUAUCACCCUAUUUAAAUGCUAUUUAAUUUAAUGCACCUAUAUACUUGGUGAAAGGUGGAAGGCUCGGCCUUUCUAGCCUCUGGUGUUUUGUUCUACCUUUGCCCCCUUUGUUUCGGCUAUCGGUGUUAUGUUCCAUAUUUGAGCGCUCCUAACACGUUGAUAAUUCGUUUUAGAUUAAGACUGGUCUGGCAAGGCCCAACUUUGGUACUACAUUUGCCUAAACACCUAAUAAAAUUGCAUAGGGAAUUUCCGGACCCCGUGGAUAAUUUAAUCAAACCCCGGGCCAGUGCUCCUCAUGAGUGUUGGUCCAAAUUGGCAGACUACGGGGCCACCGCGGGGCAACCCGAGGUUUGGUUCUCCUAGUGUGACCCAUCCGUCGUGUCCUGAGAACGAGGUACGCGACUCCUAUCGGGAUCAUCGACACGUCGGGCGGCCUUGCUGGAUUAGUUUUACCUUUGACGAGAUAUCUGGUGCAUCGGGAUUCCGGUGAUGCUUUGGGUAAUCUCAGAGUUGAGGUUUUCCACUAGGGGAUCCAACGAGAUCGCGAGCUUCGUAAUUGAGGAUUUCUAUGCGGCUUGUGAUAAUUUGUGAUGGACUAGUUGGAGCACCCCUGCAGGGUUAAAUCUUUCGGAAAGCCGUGCCCGCGGUUAUGUGGCAACGUGGAAGCUUUGUUUAACACUGGUUCUAGAUAACUUGAAGUUCACUUAAUUAAAAUAUGCCAACUGUGUGCGUAACCAUGACUGUCUCUUUGUGAGUUCCUUCUCCGAUCGAGGACACGGUGGGGUUAUGUCUGACGUAGGUAGGUGUUCAGGAUCAUUCAUUUGAUCAUCAGUAGUUCACGUCUGUUAUGCGUAUAACUUCCCCCUCUUAUUUCUUGUACUCGUAAGUUUAGCCACCAAAUAUAUGCUUAGCCGCUGCUGCAACCUCACCACUUAACCAUGCCUCACCCAUUAAGCUUUGCUAGUCUUGAUACCUCUGGAAAUGAGAUUGAUGAGUCCCCUGUGGCUCACAGAUUACUACAACACCAGUUGCAGGUACAGGUAAAGGUUACUUGACGCGAGCGCGUUGAUUGUUCAUUUGGAGUUGCUUCUUCUUCUUCUUCUUGAUCGACCUAGGAUGGGUUCCAGGCCGGCAGCCUGGGAUAGCAAGGAUGGACGUCGUUCUUAUUUUCUUGUUUGUUUUCGUCCGUAGUCGGACCCUGCUCUUACUCUUGAUGAAUAUGUAAUGUACUGAUGUGACUCUGAUGUAGCUUGUGGCGAGUGUAAGCCAAUUC
rnacentral:lncRNA from 1 species